UCGCUCCUACCGAUUGAAUGGUCCGGUGAAAUCUUUGGACCGUGGCUCUUAGUUGGGCUUCCAACUUUGGCUACCGGGAAGUUGAUUAAACCUUAUCAUUUAGAGGAAGGAG
rnacentral:rRNA from 1 species